rnacentral:rRNA from 1 species
CGCCUCUUGAAUACUUAUAAGAGGUCCAGCCUGCCCAGUGACCCUGUUCAACGGCCGCGGUAUCCUAACCGUGCGAAGGUAGCGUAAUCACUUGUUCUUUAAAUGCGGACUAGUAUGAAUGGCACCACGAAGGUUAUACUGUCUCCUUUUUCUAAUCAGUGAAACUAAUCUCCCCGUGAAGAAGCGGGAAUAAAAUUAUAAGACGAGAAGACCCUAUGGAGCUUUAAAUUAUACAGCACUUGCCACACAACAUAAAAAUUCCCGAAAAUUUCAAUCUGUAUAGCUAACUUGACUGUAAAUUUUUGGUUGGGGUGACCACGGAGAACAACACAACCUCCAUGAUGAAUGAAUUUUCUCUAAACUAAGAUCUACUAAUCUAAGUAUCAAUAUAUUGACAUCCAUUGAUCCAAUAUAAUUGAACAACGAACCAAGUUACCCUAGGGAUAACAGCGCAAUCUACUUCAAGAGCUCCUAUCGACAAGUGGGUUUACGACCUCGAUGUUGGAUCAGGGUAUCCCAGUGGUGCAGCCGCUACUAAAGGUUCGUUUGUUCAACGAUUAAAAC